AUUUUUUGUCCCUGAUGUGGUGGUAUCCCCAACUGCAGCAUUGUCCGGGGACACCACCACAUCAGGGACAAAAAUUA